rnacentral:rRNA from 1 species
UAUAAGACUGGGAUAACUUCGGGAAACCGGAGCUAAUGCCGGAUAACAUUUGGAACCGCAUGGUUCUAAAGUAAAAGAUGGUUUCGCUAUCACUUAUAGAUGGACCCGCGCCGUAUUAGCUAGUUGGUAAGGUAACGGCUUACCAAGGCAACGAUACGUAGCCGACCUGAGAGGGUGAUCGGCCACACUGGAACUGAGACACGGUCCAGACUCCUACGGGAGGCAGCAGUAGGGAAUCUUCCGCAAUGGACGAAAGUCUGACGGAGCAACGCCGCGUGAGUGAUGAAGGUUUUCGGAUCGUAAAACUCUGUUAUUAGGGAAGAACAAAUGUGUAAGUAACUGUGCACAUCUUGACGGUACCUAAUCAGAAAGCCACGGCUAACUACGUGCCAGCAGCCGCGGUAAUACGUAGGUGGCAAGCGUUAUCCGGAAUUAUUGGGCGUAAAGCGCGCGUAGGCGGUUUCUUAAGUCUGAUGUGAAAGCCCACGGCUCAACCGUGGAGGGUCAUUGGAAACUGGGAAACUUGAGUACAGAAGAGGAAAGUGGAAUUCCAUGUGUAGCGGUGAAAUGCGCAGAGAUAUGGAGGAACACCAGUGGCGAAGGCGACUUUCUGGUCUGUAACUGACGCUGAUGUGCGAAAGCGUGGGGAUCAAACAGGAUUAGAUACCCUGGUAGUCCACGCCGUAAACGAUGAGUGCUAAGUGUUAGGGGGUUUCCGCCCCUUAGUGCUGCAGCUAACGCAUUAAGCACUCCGCCUGGGGAGUACGACCGCAAGGUUGAAACUCAAG